CUGCCCAAGAGACUGGGAUAACACCUGGAAACAGAUGCUAAUACCGGAUAACAACACUAGACGCAUGUCUAGAGUUUGAAAGAUGGUUCUGCUAUCACUCUUGGAUGGACCUGCGGUGCAUUAGCUAGUUGGUAAGGUAACGGCUUACCAAGGCAAUGAUGCAUAGCCGAGUUGAGAGACUGAUCGGCCACAUUGGGACUGAGACACGGCCCAAACUCCUACGGGAGGCAGCAGUAGGGAAUCUUCCACAAUGGACGAAAGUCUGAUGGAGCAACGCCGCGUGAGUGAAGAAGGGUUUCGGCUCGUAAAGCUCUGUUGGUAGUGAAGAAAGAUAGAGGUAGUAACUGGCCUUUAUUUGACGGUAAUUACUUAGAAAGUCACGGCUAACUACGUGCCAGCAGCCGCGGUAAUACGUAGGUGGCAAGCGUUGUCCGGAUUUAUUGGGCGUAAAGCGAGUGCAGGCGGUUCAAUAAGUCUGAUGUGAAAGCCUUCGGCUCAACCGGAGAAUUGCAUCAGAAACUGUUGAACUUGAGUGCAGAAGAGGAGAGUGGAACUCCAUGUGUAGCGGUGGAAUGCGUAGAUAUAUGGAAGAACACCAGUGGCGAAGGCGGCUCUCUGGUCUGCAACUGACGCUGAGGCUCGAAAGCAUGGGUAGCGAACAGGAUUAGAUACCCUGGUAGCCCAUGCCGUAAACGAUGAGUGCUAAGUGUUGGGAGGUUUCCGCCUC
rnacentral:rRNA from 1 species